GACGAACGCUGGCGGCGUGCUUAACACAUGCAAGUCGAACGGAAAGGCCUGCUUUCCCUUAUGGAUUGCGGGUACUCGAGUGGCGAACGGGUGAGUAACACGUGAGUGAUCUGCCCCCAACUUGGGUAUAAGCCUGGGAAACUGGGUCUAAUUCCCGAUAGGACUGCAGGGUGGUGCCUGUGGUGGAAAACGAUUUUCUAGUGGUUGGGGAUGACCUCGCGGCCUAUCAGCUUGUUGGUGGGGUAAUGGCCUACCAAGGCGGCGACGGGUAGCCGGCCUGAGAGGGUGGACGGCCACAUUGGGACUGAGAUACGGCCCAGACUCCUACGGGAGGCAGCAGUGGGGAAUAUUGCACAAUGGGCGGAAGCCCGAUGCAGCGACGCCGCGUGGGGGAUGACGGCCUUCGGGUGGUAAACUCCUUUCGACCGCGAGGAAGCCACCUGGUUGGAAGGGUGGUGACGGUAGUGGUAGAAGAAGCACCGGCUAACUACGUG
rnacentral:rRNA from 1 species